GGGGCAGGGGCAGGAAGUCGCGGGGGCGGGCAGAGUCGGGAGGGUGGCGGGCUGGGCUGAGCGCUCCCGCUCGGCUCCUGCUGCCACCGCCCCUGAGUCAGCCCUGCCGCUCCCCCGCCCUGUCCCAGCCGUCCCUCGGUCCGUCCGUCCGGACACAGGGAAGGAGCCACCCAUCCAGCUGCAGCACCACCCUUCCAACACUGCCAGAUGUGCCUCCAGGUUGUUCUGUGCCUGCAGCCCACUCCAGAGAUCCUUCCCUGCCUCCUGCACUGCUGACCACCAACUCUACAGGAUCCCCGACCUGGCCCUGCGUGUCCUCCAAUGGCUCGUGCUGUGGACUGCUGGGUUCCCCCCCACGCUCAGCAUGCCCUUUUCUGGACCUUCCCAGGUAUCACUCUGGAGCUCAAGGCCAUCCUGUAGGGUAAGGUGAUCCCGCCAAGGUGCUGCCUGUGCCGGGCUGCUCUCCCAGCUAGCGCACGUCUCUCGUCCCUGGUAGGAAAUGGAGUCCAAGGUCUCCGAAGGCGGCCUCAACGUCACCCUCACCAUCCGGCUGCUGAUGCACGGCAAGGAAGUGGGAAGCAUCAUUGGGAAGAAAGGAGAGACCGUGAAGAAGAUGCGUGAGGAGAGUGGGGCAAGGAUCAACAUCUCAGAGGGGAACUGCCCUGAGCGGAUUGUGACCAUCACUGGCCCCACUGAUGCCAUCUUCAAGGCUUUUGCCAUGAUCGCCUACAAAUUUGAGGAGGACAUAACCAACUCCAUGAGCAACAGCACCGCUACCAGCAAACCUCCAGUGACACUGCGGCUGGUGGUGCCAGCGAGUCAGUGCGGCUCCCUCAUCGGCAAGGGGGGUUCCAAGAUCAAGGAAAUCCGAGAGUCCACAGGUGCUCAGGUCCAAGUGGCUGGGGACAUGCUGCCCAACUCCACGGAGCGGGCAGUGACAAUCUCGGGGACACCCGAUGCAAUUAUCCAGUGUGUCAAACAGAUCUGUGUGGUGAUGCUGGAGGUACAGUCUGUAACAAAGAGGUCCCCACCAAAAGGUGCCACCAUUCCCUACCGCCCAAAGCCCGCCUCCACCCCUGUCAUUUUUGCAGGUGGUCAGGCCUAUACAAUUCAGGGACAAUACGCUAUUCCACACCCAGAUCAGUUGACCAAGCUCCACCAGUUGGCUAUGCAGCAAACCCCCUUUACUCCCCUUGGACAGACCACCCCCGCUUUCCCUGGAGAAAAGCUGCCCUUACAUUCCUCCGAAGAAGCUCAAAAUCUGAUGGGCCAGUCAUCAGGUUUGGAUGCCAGUCCCCCGGCCAGUACUCAUGAACUCACCAUUCCCAAUGAUCUAAUAGGCUGCAUAAUCGGACGCCAAGGGACCAAAAUCAAUGAAAUUCGGCAGAUGUCGGGAGCGCAGAUCAAAAUCGCAAACGCCACAGAAGGGUCAUCGGAGCGCCAAAUUACCAUCACAGGAACCCCUGCAAACAUCAGCCUUGCGCAGUACCUCAUCAACGCCAGGCUGACGUCUGAGGUCACUGGAAUGGGUGCACUCUAAUUUCCACCCACCAUCCUCCACUCCGCACCACCCGACCCUCUCCAGCCACCGGCACUCCACCCAGCCUGUACUGCCUGUACAUUUACUGUCUUCCCUUUGCCUCCACAGAUACUCUUUUCUUUACUAACGUAUAUAUAUAUAUAUAUAUAUAAACACACGGGUGCAUAUGCACACACUGGAACAUUUCUUUACAAGCUCUUUAAUCUGUGCUCCCGAAGCUUCUCCGAAACUCUUUGGUUAUGGUCCUUGUUUUCAGCGUUAGGGUGUUAAUUCUUCAUCUGCUUCAUCUGCUUUUUGGGGACAAGGGAGGGGGGAGGGGGGACAUUGUUUUUUUUCUCUCACUGGCAAGACUUCAGGAGCUGGCGGGGUCUCUAGUGUCAGUCUAGAAUAGCUACCUGUCGUUGGAGCUGAUGUUGGCUGUACUUUCUGUAGCAUAUGGACAUAAUGAUGCCACCCAGAGCUGUGCAUGUUUCAGACAACUUAAUUUUUCUCACCCUCCUUCCUUUGGUGCUCCCCCUUGCUUGUCCUGGCUCACCUUUGCUGCCUCAUGCUACCGCCCUCAGGGUAAGGGCAUAUUUUCACCCUGUGUUAUUUGGGAAGCAGAAGCCAAGUAUGGGUUCAGCCUGCAGGCUUCUCUCUUGAAACAUGGCAUGGUCCAGUCAAGCCCAUUUUCCUACUAAACUAAGGGAAUCACACACACACACAGAUAUAUACAAAUGCUCUGGGUUUUUUAACUAAUAAGCACCUAGAAGUGGGAAGAACUCAGCUGUAUGGGAUUCAUACCCCCAGGGGCCUUUGAAAGCACUCUUUUGGCAAUACUCCACAAGCAAAACCUCAGGAAGCUCUGUGAGCCAGCUGUGUUUGUCAUUGUUUGUGUUCAAUAAAUGUCUGUGCAGCUCUGGUACUGAUGGGCUCUGAUUGUUCUUCUCCUGGGUCACCCCAACAAUGCCAGCCCCAGCCUUCCCUCUGCAUCCUUCCACACCUUUUUAGCCACUUGGAGGGAAGGUGGGGGUUGUAUGCAAGAGUUCUCCAUUUUUUUUUAUUAUUAUCAUUAUUAUUACUAUUAUUACUAUUAUUACUAUUUCUCAUCAGCAUAAUAAUUUUUUUUUGUUUUUAUUUUUUUAGAGAAAUGACCAAUGCACUUCCUGAGUGAUUCCAUGCUUUCUGUUUUUCAUUUUUAUUUUCCAAAGGGAGAGUAUUUGGCUUGCAUAAUCCUUUGGUUUUUUCCUAAGAUUAAUUUAUAAGUUAUGGUGUGACAGCCAUCAUCUCUCACUGCCCCCUUGUCUGGACGGAUCUGCCAUGUGUGUCUCCCACACCCUUCCCCAAGACCCUCUCUGCCCAGCCCUGCCUUCUGCUUCCAGGCUUUUCUUCUCUCUCCUGCCUCUCCAGCACGGAAGUGUACAUUUUUCAUCUGUUAAUUCCUGACUGUCCCUUUUCCCGGAUUGCACAUGAGGGGACCAUGAUGCACCGUGUCCCCAGACAGCUGAAGCAGCCACACAGUACAUUUUUGCACUGUACCACAUGGGAAAUGCAUUGUUUUUCGAGCUCUGCAGACCCUGACCCCCACGGGAGGAACACCUUCACCGCCUGACCUGGUGCCAAUGGCUGAUGCUUGACCCCCCUCUGAGGAUGCUGCCGGCUUCCUGCGAGCUUCUCCCGCUCCUUCGUGGCACCCUUGGGGCCACUGCCCGAACCCCCCACCCACGGCUCUCCAGACCCUGCUCCCUCGGCCUGGGCACAGGGCAGCAGUGGGCUCGGGGGGCUGGGGCAGCAGGUCUCAGGAGGACAGCAGCUUGCAGCCAGAGUGCAGCGGUACCCACUGCGAGCCAGUGCUUCCCACCGCCCUUAUCUGUGCUUCCUCAUCGCCCCUCACGCCCCUGAUGCUUUGCGAUGUAUUUUGUGGCUUAUCCGUGUCAUUGCAAUAAAGCUUUUGUUGCUUGA